UGUAAUAUUCAGGCAGAAAAAUAUUUAGGUAAUUUGCUUUGGUGUAAAUAAUUUUGAAUAAAUGGUAUAUAUUUCUAUAGUCAAAUUGUUGUGUUAUCACAAUAUACAAUUGGGCCUUUUUUACCAGGAUUCAUUGAACUUGAAAUGAGGAACUCUGACCACUCGUAUGCAAGGAGAUGUCAUAUUGACCACACUUAUGCCAUGAGCGCACCAACAAAUAAUUCAGAUGAUGCUGCUGUUUUACCACCAUACAUCACAACUGGAGCUGAUUCAGGUGGAGUUACACUGGAACAUAUUACAUCGAGUGUAGAACUGUCUAUUGAGCCAUCAUCCUGUCUUAAUUCAGAGCGCGUCCAAUCCAGCUCAAGUCAAGCCUGCUCGUCGCGGCUGUGAAGUCAUCGUUUGAGCCAACUUCACCACAAACAGUGGUGGACUCAUCAAAGUCUAAUGUGGCUCAGGCUUGCGUCACAACUCCGGGGCCAUCCGUCAAUUACAAUGACCUUCCUAAAGACGACACUAUGCACUUAAAUGGCCAAAGUCUUAGUGUAGUGUAUGACCCGCCACAUUUAAUCAAAGGAGUGAGGAAUAACUUCUUGACGAAGAAUAUUAUAAUGGACGUCGAAGUGGCAAGACUUGGUGGACGUGUACCGCACGGACUGCCGCCACGCGCAAGCUCGCCUGCUGCGCAAGCUCAACGACGAGCACAUACUCCCGGACAAAGUCAAGAAAAUGAAGGUGAAAAACUGUGUGCGUGUUUUCAGUCAAACCAUGGCAGCAGCUUUAUCCUACACAGCUUCAUUUUCGCACUACGCGGACGGCACGCCUGUGAACGCUACGCUGUACAAAACGGCAGAGCUGGUGGCCUUCCUCGAUGACCUGUUCGACAGCAUCAACGGCGCCAGCACCCACCAAAAGCAUACAAAGGGAAAGCAAUUGCGGACUGCCGUAACUGAAAACUCAAAACAACGAUUUCUGGAUGAAGACGAUAGAAUUCCGUGAUAUCAACGGAAAAUUGACAAAAGUUCCGACGUUGAAAAAUUGGUUGACAACUUUAAAAAGCUACCAAAGGCUGUGGCAGGUCAUGAACGAAAAAAACAUCAAGAUAAUGCGCCCGCGGUAUUUUAAUUCCGACGCAAUA